GGCCUAUAACAUGCAAGUCGAGCGGAAACGACACUAACAAUCCUUCGGGUGCGUUAAUGGGCGUCGAGCGGACGGACGGGUGAGUAAUGCCUAGGAAAUUGCNUUGAUGUGGGGGAUAACCAUUGGAAACGAUGGCUAAUACCGCAUGAUGCCUACGGGCCAAAGAGGGGGACCUUCGGGCCUCUCGCGUCAAGAUAUGCCUAGGUGGGAUUAGCUAGUUGGUGAGGUAAUGGCUCACCAAGGCGACGAUCCCUAGCUGGUCUGAGAGGAUGAUCAGCCACACUGGAACUGAGACACGGUCCAGACUCCUACGGGAGGCAGCAGUGGGGAAUAUUGCACAAUGGGCGAAAGCCUGAUGCAGCCAUGCCGCGUGUAUGAAGAAGGCCUUCGGGUUGUAAAGUACUUUCAGUUGUGAGGAAGGGUGUGUAGUUAAUAGCUGCNCAUCUUGACGUUAGCAACAGAAGAAGCACCGGCUAACUCCGUGCCAGCAGCCGCGGUAAUACUGGAGGGUGCGAGCGUUAAUCGGAAUUACUGGGCGUAAAGCGCAUGCAGGUGGUUCAUUAAGUCAGAUGUGAAAGCCCG
rnacentral:rRNA from 1 species